CCGGGCUAACUUGCGCACCUUGCCUCCCUCCUCCUGAGUUCCCCCGCUUUCUCAAAAUAAAUAAAUAAUUGCAGUUUAGUCCUUUUACCCCAAUACGUAUAUGAACGUAACCUAGAAUUUUGACUUUGGAAAAUAAAAUAAUAAAUAAAUAAAAAGCUUCAAAAAUAAAAAAAAUAAAAAAGGGUGAGAGAGAGAAAGAAAGAAAGACCGUUCCGUUUCUCUAACAUGCGCCAUAUGGUAUUCACCACCAGCACAACCACAACCGCCACCACCAUGCCAGCGUCGUCCUCCUACUCACCCGCCACGCCAUCAUCAUCGUCACCGAGCUCCAAGGCCCCCAAAUCCUCAAACCCUAACCCUAACUCUCUCCUUUGCAAGCACUCACCUUCGGCCACCCUCGACCUCCUCAUCCUCAUCCUCGUCCUCUUCUCCGGCACAUUUCUCCUCACCUCCUACUUCUCCUACAUCUUCAAUUCCCUCUCACUCCUCCUCUCCACCUCCACCAUCCAUAUCCAUAUCCAUCUCCACCACCAACAGCUCCCUUACAUUAUCGGCUUCGUCGUCUUCUUCCUCUUCGCCGUCUUAUUCGUUGAGUUCUGCUGCGGCGCCCGAUCGCGCAAGUGCGAUAAGCCUGGAUGCCAGGGUUUGAAAAAUGCUAUGGAGUUUGAUUUAAAAUUGCAGAAGGAGGACACUAUCAAGACUGGUUCUAAGGAGAUCGAUAGGUUGCCUUGGAAGGGCGGCAGCGAAGCUAACCCUGAUUAUGAGUGCCUCAGGUCCGAGCUUAGGAAGAUGGCCCCUCCCAAUGGCCGCGCCGUCUUGCUGUUUCGUACCCGGUGCGGCUGCCCCGUCGCUAAGCUCGAGGGAUGGGGCCCUAAACGUGGUCGGCGGCAUAAGAAGGUUAUUUGCAUUGCUUGAUGGGUGUAUAAUACUAAGAGAUGAAAGGAAUGCCCAUUACAGAGGAAUUUAUCAUAGACGUUGGUUCUUGGUAGUAAGACAUGUUCAAGGGCUCUGGCUAGUGUGGCACUCAAAGGAGGCGUUCGUCGCUGAUUGUUUGGGAUACAAUGGCCUUAAUUUUUAUUUAUCAUUUUCCCCUUUUAACUCGUUAGAAUUUAGAUGUUCUUUACUUCCUUCUACUCAGACUUCAUUCUCCAUUGAAAAACAAUUCUUUGGUGAGGGCACGUUAAACGUGACAAAAAGAAGUGGUACUGGCGUUGGCAAGCAUAAUCUCAUCUCAAACAGCUUGCUUGACGUUUGUAAAAGGAGAUAUAUAUACCAAAUUUAUUUGAAAUAAACUUAUAAAAUGAACACUAGUACUUUUUAGUUUAAGUGGGGUUUCUUAAGAUGCAUUGCAUGGACUCUGAUUUGGUUAUACAGGGAAGGAGAAGAAUAUUUGUAUGUAAAACAAUCAAGACAAUGUGCAUUAAGAUUGCUACAAAUGAAGUUUGCCCUCCAUUGGCGAUUAAAUGUU